rnacentral:lncRNA from 1 species
CCUGGACCUGUGCAGACUUAUCUCUCCAUCAGCAGGGCUGAGGAAAUCAAUUGAAAAGCAAGGAGACCAUUAAGGAUUAAUAGAGACGCUAACGGAAUAGUGAUCAAGAUGUUGAUCACCAUGCUAACAGCCAUGUAUGUGAUGGUCAAAGUCGCAGAAUCGAUAGGUGUACGGUUGACACGGCAACAGGACCCUUUGCCUUACAUGGUGUCCCAGCCUUUGCCUUGGCAGGUUCACUCAGUGUCACACAGCCGGAGGAGCAGCAAAGCAGAUGAGUUUGAUGGCUUCAGGAGGAACAGUAUAGGCGUAUAUAGAAAAAGUAAGUAAUACUAUAAAAUAAUUAGUUUUAAUGCUGGCUAUUUUUCUGCUAUGAUGGCUGUCAUUGCAAAGUUAACCACUACAGUUUGACCUGAAUUGCUGUCAACUAUAACUAACAAAUGAAACUGUAAACAGAAAAAUAGCCCGCUUGAAUCAAUGCUAAUAUGUACACAAUGUGUUUGAA